rnacentral:rRNA from 1 species
GGGUUUCCGCCCUUCAGUGCCGCAGCUAACGCAUUAAGCWMUCCGCCUGGGGAGUACGACCGCAAGGUUGAAACUCAAAGGAAUUGACGGGGGCCCGCACAAGCGGUGGAGCAUGUGGUUUAAUUYGAAGCUACGCGAAGAACCUUACCAGGUCUUGACAUCUUGCGCCAACCCUAGAGAUAGGGCGUUUCCUUCGGGAACGCAAUGACAGGUGGUGCAUGGUCGUCGUCAGCUCGUGUCGUGAGAUGUUGGGUUAAGUCCCGCAACGAGCGCAACCCUUGUUACUAGUUGCCAGCAUUCAGUUGGGCACUCUAGUGAGACUGCCGGUGACAAACCGGAGGAAGGUGGGGACGACGUCAGAUCAUCAUGCCCCUUAUGACCUGGGCUACACACGUGCUACAAUGGACGGUACAACGAGUCGCGAACUCGCGAGGGCAAGCUAAUCUUUUAAAACCGUUUUCAGUUCGGACUGCAGGCUGCAACUCGCCUGCCCGAAGUUGGAAUCGCUAGUAAUCGCGGAUCAGCAUGCCGCGGUGAAUACGUUCCCGGGCCUUGUACACACCGCCCGUCACCCCCUGAGAGUUUGCAACACCCAAAGUCGGUGGGGUAACCCU